GACGAACGCUGGCGGCGUGCUUAACACAUGCAAGUCGAACGGAAAGGCCCCCAUCUUGGUGGGGGUGCUCGAGUGGCGAACGGGUGAGUAACACGUGGGUGAUCUGCCCGGUAUUUCGGGAUAAGCUUGGGAAACUGGGUCUAAUACCGGAUAGGAUCAUGGUUCAGGGUCUUAUGGGGGAAAGAUUAUUGUUUUGGUGCGGGAUCACGGCGGGGCGGGUCGGUGUGGUGGUGGGGGAAUGGCCUACCUAGGCCUCGACGGGUAGCCGGCCUGGGGGGGUGGCCGGCCACGUGGGGACUGGGAGACGGCCCAGCCUCGUACGGGAGGCGGCAGUAGGGAGUAGUGCACGUGGGGCGCAUGCCUGAUGCAGCGACAGCGCGUGGGGGAUGACGGCCGUCGGGUAGUAAACUCCUUUCGUUAGGAACGAAGCCGCACUUUUUUGGGGUGUGGUUGCGGUACCUUUGUUAAGAAGCACCGGCUAACUACGUG
rnacentral:rRNA from 1 species